ACGCUCGACACCUAGGCAGCAGUGGGGAAUAUUGCACAAUGGGGGAAACCCUGAUGCAGCAACGCCGCGUGAAGGAAGACGGUUUUCGGAUUGUAAACUUCUGUUCUUAGUGAAGAUAGUGACGGUAGCUAAGGAGCAAGCCACGGCUAACUACGUGCCGGCAGCCGCGGUAAUCUGAGCGGGCUGGCAAGGC
rnacentral:rRNA from 1 species